rnacentral:rRNA from 1 species
GACGAACGCUGGCGGCGUGCUUAACACAUGCAAGUCGAACUAAGUGGCGAACGGGUGAGUAAUACGUGGGUAACCUGCCCUCCUUUUUGGGAUAAUCCUUGGAAACGGGGUCUAAUACCGAAUAAAGGGGGAUGGGCUCGUGGCCUAUCAGCUUGUUGGUGGGGUGAUGGCCUACCAAGGCGGUGACGGGUAGCUGGCCUGAGAGGGUGAACGGGCACAGUGGGACUGAGAUACGGCCCAGGCUGCUACGGGAGGCAGCAGUGGGAGAUAUUGCAGAAUGGGCGAAAGACUGAUGCAGCGAGGCCGCGUGGGGGAUGAAGGCUUUCGGGUUGUAAAACUCUUGCGCUAUCGAGCGGGUAGGUGGAGAAGAAGCGCCGGCUAACUACGUGCCAGCAGCCGCGGUAAUUC